rnacentral:lncRNA from 1 species
GGGUAACCACCGUGUGUACUUGCAGAUGUUGCAGCCUUCCUUUUAUUGAAGCCUCCAUUGCUGAGAAAUAAUUCUCUUCCUUUCGUUUGGAUCAUGCUUUAUUGAUUAUCUGAUCUCUAUUCCAGGCUAGGUGCUAGAGACAGAGAGACGAAAAGACCUGAGACCCAAUCAUCGUCUGUUUCUUUUGGCACCUCACCGUGGAGACUUUGGAUUGCAGAAGGAGUCAGAAGUCUCCAAAUGGCCAGACUUUCCUUACCAAGUCUGCCGAAUUGAAGAUGAAGGAGAGUGGAGCAGUUGGAUGCCCGAGUCUGCAGCAAUGAGUACUGUGGCCCUGUUGAGGACAUAGAGGUACAGCAGAGGCCGGAACCUGCCUGCAUCAUCAGUGUAGGCUUCCCUGUGUGCACAGUCACCACGGAGACCUCCUACUCCAAGUGAGAAUCCCACUUCAGUCUUUGGAAGAGAGCUGCCCUGGGAGCCAAGAGACACCAUGGAGGCACAGUGUAAGGUGAGUGAGAAGCAAGCUCAGUUUGGUUAACUCACUGGGAUUUUUGGCCCUGCAGCAUAAUCUAGUUUAUUCUGAUACAGCAAUCUUUUUUCCUUCCUAGUAUUGCCUUCUGCUUUUUCCUGGACUCAUUGCUCCUACUGUUUUUUUUUUUGUUUGUUUUUUUGAUACUGGGGAUUGAACUCAGGACCUUGCGCUUGCAAGGCAGGUGGCGGCACC